rnacentral:sRNA from 1 species
AAGCCUGCUGUGCUCAGCUCUGCAUCAACUAUUUAGGAGGUUACAAAUGCAGAUGUCAGGAAGGCUUUCAGAUCACUUCCGAUGGUUGUGGAUGUGAUGAUGUGGAUGAGUGGCUGGAUGUCAGUAUAGUCUGUGACCAACUACAUUAAUUCUGUGGGAACAUACGAAUGUAGUUGUGAAGAAGGCUACAGAAUUGGAAAUGACAGAAAAACUUACCCCUCUUUAGAUGAUGAUGAGUUGGAGGAAGAAGAGGAGUGGGAAGUUGUGAGGUUUCCAGGUCUUCUAUUCAAGAGCCCACCUCAACAGCUUCAUUAUGUUGCUACCUUUCUGCCUCCCACCUACAAAGAUGAAGAAGAUGAGGAGGAAGAGGAAAAAGAUAUUCGUAGAGAACUGACUGCUUUGCACAAUUUUGUCUGUUUAGAUCACAUCUUUGGACACAAUUGCAGCUUGAGCUGCAAGGACUGAAUGAAUGGAGGACAGUGCCAGGAAGGAGUGAAUGCUCCUGCCCAGCAGGUUGGGGUGUCAUUCCUUGUAAUGAAAACUGUCCCAAGGGUGCCUACGGAGCUGGCUGCACUUCAGAAUGUCAGUGUGUGGAGGAGAAUACCCUGGAAUGCAGUGCCAAAAAUGGUAGUUGCACCUGCAAAUCUGGUUACCAAGGCAACAGAUGCCAGAAAGAUGGCCUCUGGGGACCAGAGGGCUGGUUCUCCUCUGCACCCUGUGAAAAUGGAGGUCAGUGCAACAAAAAAACUGGAAAUUGUGACUGCACUCCUGAUUACACAAGAAAAUCCUGUACCAUAUUGAGAUGCAUUUCCCUUACCAAUCUGGCUCUCAGCAGGCAGUCCAGCCUGAUGAAGUACCAGCAAAAUGUCAGCUCCCACAGAGAAGUGCCACAGAGGCGACAGUGCAGCAGUGACAGGCCUUUCAAAAAGCUAUUGUGCAAAUUCAGUUUUAAAAUAGGGAUGUGGUUGAGGACAGAUGGGUAUUUCAUUACCAAUGCGUUCAUCUCCCCCAUCGUCCAAGAGAAUGAGAGGGGGUCAUGGUGCAGCUGAUAUAAAGCCAUUAAGUUGAGUAGCGGUUGAUUUGGUCUUUAGAAGAUUUGUCUUCCUAUCUGUAUUUUCGAAAAGUUAAUAUUCAAAUUAGCUGUCAUUUUUAGUACAUACCUGCUAAAGGGGGGCCAAGAAUUGUUCUUUUUUCUAAUGGAUCACCUUCCAGUGUCUCAAAUAGAUCAUUAAAAACAAAGUUAAUCAUGUCAUUACUUUAUAAACCUCACUGAGCUACUGAUACUGUUCAUAAUGAAGUCUGUAGCACUAAAGACCCAUCAUCAACCUGUCUCUAGCCAGCUUUUGACCAUGCUUAUGUAUACCCUACAUAUUUUAGUCAUUCCCCCAACAUCAUGUACAGUUAAAACAUGGUGCCAUUGUUCAUUGCUCUUUCCUGUAAUACAUGUUUUCUUCUUCCAUUUUUAUUCCCUCAAGCAUUUAUUCCUCAAGCAUUUUUAUUUUCCAGCAUAUGUAAAAAAAAUACUAGAGCCCUUCCUUCCAUAGCAGCACCAAUCCUAUUGUAUUAUAAUUAAUUGCCUGCUAUUAAGACUGCUUAUCAUUAAUUUUUGUACACCCCACUUUUCAACAUACAAGGGGUACUCAAUAAAGGUUUGCUAGAUUCAAUUAAAGAACAUUUUUGACAACUUAAAAUUCCAUCGAAAUAAUUUACUGAGAAAAAAAAAAACUUGCAAAACACAGCGUUUAUGAUACUGAAAAGUACCCAGUAACCAAUACUUGUUAAACUGGAUUGAAUUACUCAGUCUUUUAAGAUAGCAAGAGGAAAUCAAGAAAGCUGUAGCACCACAGCUCUAUUGGUCUCUACUCCAUUUCUGAAAACACUUUUCAUGAGAAGAUUUUUCAAUGGAUUAGAAGACUAACAUCAGACAAUGAUGAUUCCUUAGCUUCAUCUCAAGAGUCCAGAUUAUUUCCUUCUAUACUCACUUUCAACGUAUGCAAUCAUUCCUUUUAAAUACAACACAGUUACCUUAGAAAAGUGAACAAAUGUUGGCUGGGCGCAGUGGCUCACACCUGUAAUCCCAGCACUUUGGGAGGCAGAGGCAGGUGGAUCACUUGAGGUCAGGAGUUCAAGACCAGCCUGGCCAACAUGGUGAAACCCCAUCUCUACUGAAAAUACAAAAAUUAGCCUGGCAUGGUGGCACAUACCUGUAAUCCCAGCUACUCAGGAGGCUGAGGCAGGAGAAUCGCUUGAACCCAGGAGGCAGAGGUUGCAGUGAGCUGAGAUUGUGCCAUUGCACUCCAGCCUGGGCGACAGAGUGAGACUCCAUCUCAAAAAAAAAA